AAAGUACUCCCUCCGUUUCAAAAUUCUUGUCUUUGUUCUGUCUAGAUAUGAAUGUAUCUAGUCAUGUAUUAGUAUUUAGAUAUUUUCAUUUUUAGAUAAAUGUAAGACAAAUUUUUUGAGACGGAGCGGGUAUUCA
rfam:Hordeum vulgare subsp. vulgare, WGS project CAJW01000000 data, contig: morex_contig_54855